CAGACGACGUGAGCCUCACGCCCGGGGACGACGUCCUCAUCGACAUCGACGACAAGGAGCCCCUGCUCCCUGUCCAGCUUGCCGAGGGCGUGACCAGCUCUGCACUAAUUACCCUCCCUCCUGCCGGGGCCCCGCCUCCUGUGUCUGGGAGGAAAGAUUCCCAACUGUAGGAUUAUGGAAUGGUUUGGGUUGG